rnacentral:rRNA from 1 species
CCUACGGGAGGCAGCAGUGGGGAAUAUUGGACAAUGGGCGCAAGCCUGAUCCAGCCAUACCGCGUGGGUGAAGAAGGCCUUCGGGUUGUAAAGCCCUUUUGUUGGGAAAGAAAAGCAGUCGGCUAAUACCCGGUUGUUCUGACGGUACCCAAAGAAUAAGCACCGGCUAACUUCGUGCCAGCAGCCGCGGUAAUACGAAGGGUGCAAGCGUUACUCGGAAUUACUGGGCGUAAAGCGUGCGUAGGUGGUUGUUUAAGUCUGUUGUGAAAGCCCUGGGCUCAACCUGGGAAUUGCAGUGGAUACUGGGCGACUAGAGUGUGGUAGAGGGUAGUGGAAUUCCCGGUGUAGCAGUGAAAUGCGUAGAGAUCGGGAGGAACAUCCAUGGCGAAGGCAGCUACCUGGACCAACACUGACACUGAGGCACGAAAGCGUGGGGAGCAAACAGGAUUAGAUACCCUGGUAGUCCACGCCCUAAACGAUGCGAACUGGAUGUUGGGUGCAAUUUGGCACGCAGUAUCGAAGCUAACGCGUUAAGUUCGCCGCCUGGGGAGUACGGUCGCAAGACUGAAACUCAAAGAAAUUGACGG